rnacentral:rRNA from 1 species
UACGAAGGGUGCAAGCGUUACUCGGAAUUACUGGGCGUAAAGGGUGCGUAGGUGGUUUGUUAAGUCUGCUGUGAAAUCCCCGGGCUCAACCUGGGAAUGGCAGUGGAUACUGGCAAGCUAGAGUGCGGUAGAGGGUAGUGGAAUUCCCGGUGUAGCAGUGAAAUGCGUAGAGAUCGGGAGGAACACCAGUGGCGAAGGCGGCUAGGUGGACCAGCACUGACACUGAAGCACGAAAGCUUGGGGAGCAAACAGG